rnacentral:lncRNA from 1 species
AUCAGUGUGCACAUACUUGAAUUUAUAGGCAAAUGAAAAGACGCGAGAUGUUUAGAAAGGUUUAGAGGAGAAUGGGAUAGCUGUAUGGACAAGUCAUUCCUCAUAUAAUCCUCAAAGGAGAUGUGAUAUGAGAAUGUCAGGAUGAAACACGAGAUACACAAAGGGUGCCUCAACUUGAUGUUUUGGAAAAUAAGCCGGGGUAUGGAAAUUAGGGUGAAAUUUCAAAUGAGAUUUGCGAAGCUGCCCCAGUUUUGAGGUUAUGGAUUGAUGAAAAACUCGUGUGAGACUUACAAAGCUACCUCAGUUUUUUUGGCAUAGGGUUCUGUUUGGAAGAGGUAAUGGGCAUGAAAAGGAUAGGCUAAAUGGAUGGCCCCCAACUGGUUUGAUUUUCUUCUGCGUGCUUCUCGCUUGUUGACAGGGAGAUCCCCUCUUCCUAAGACAUUACUUUUUUCUCUUCUUUUCUUGUUUUCAAUCAUUCAUUUUAAACUCUUUUUUUAUUUUUUUUUUCGUUUACGACACAUUGAAAGUCAUUUCGCCUUAUCACAAAAUUAAACUUUAUGAAAAUUUGAGCAAUCAUUAUUCGACCUGUGUGGGCUUUAUUAGGCUUGUAACGUGGCUAAGGGCUAAAAGGUAUUAGAAGAAAGGGUAUAAAGGCCCAAAUGAGUUUUGUUGGUUAUUAUUUUUUUUGAAACAAUGGUUAUCAUCUAGGCGUUGGUCAACUAUUUGAUUUUUUGAACACUUUGCUUUUUUCUUGAACUUUGAUUUUCAUCACUUUGUGAUUUCUUUUUGUUCUUUUUGUUUUGUUCUUUUUUGUUUUGUUCCAUCUUCUUGAUGAAUCUUUUUCGUUUAAUCAUUGAGUGCUCUUCAUUUCCGUCAUGAGUUGACUCCUACCUGAUGAUAACCCUUGCUUAGGGAUAAUUUUGAAAAAGAAAUUAUUUUUGGCUCAAACGGGGUGACAAUGGAUAUAUGUUUAUGCUUUUUGGAUAAAGAAAAGAUGGCCACACAUCAUUUCAAAUUCUGAUUGCUCUAUUUUCUAAAGAUUAAUCCUACAACUAGAUGGCCUCAACAUGAGUCAUUUUUUCUUCUUUUUUUUGUCCCAAUGGAUUCGGGGAUCACCCUACUAGUGCAACCGAGAAAACUUUGGGCCAAGCCAAUCUGCCCCAGUGUAAAGGUUUACUUUGGUAUUGAGGACAGAGACAAUGUUUGUUAGGGACGAUCCCUUAUUUUGGAAAAGUUAAGGGUGAAGGUCCUCAAACAACAUGUGCACAAACAUCUAGGAAGGAAACGUCAAAUUGUUAUUUUUUAUUAGACACUUGACCUCAGAAAAGUCUGACACUACAACUUUUGUUUUUUAUUUAUCACUUUUAUUUUAUUUUAUUUUUGCUAUUUUCGAAAAAACAAGAGUUUGACGAUUCACAAGAAAGACAAGUGACUCAAGAUAUGCAUAAGGUGCAUGAUUUUAUUGAGCGCAAAUGAGGGUUAGAAGACUGCACACAUCUCCCUUUGUGCCCUAACGGAGGUUCGACGCUUAAGAUUCAAGGUCAAGUAUAUGCAAUCUCACAAGGAUGGUUACCUGAGCCUAAAGAUCAAUGGUCACUAGAGUUAUGGCCCUCUUCACAGCGUCUCCACAACAGUCGAGUAAUCAACUAGAUGCGGAGAGACAAAUGAAGAGAACAAACUCUAGCUGGAGUUCUCACGAUAGCCAAACAGGAAGUACAUCCCAGAGUGACACCGCUACACAACUCCUCUAAUUCUAAGUUACACUCAGACCCAGGUAUAGGGCACCACUCUUGAUAUGCAUAAAGUGUGUGUGUGAAGGGAGGAUGAAUAUGCAUACCCCGAACCCUCACGUGCAAAACAACCAGAAAAAUCCCAGGCAAAUAUAGACAUGUUUUCUACCCUAGGGUUCAAUAUACAACAGUUCACAUGCAAUCAUUCAAACAUCAACAUAGAUAAAGAAAAGAGGAAGAAAAACAUAAAGAAAAAAAAACACAUUGAAUUCGCGCAUCUAAUUAAAUGGCUUGACUCUCUAGCAUCCUCAGUGGAGUCGCCAUCUGUCUCAACCGGCAUCGCACGGGACGACAAUCCAAAAAAGAAAACGGGUUUGAAAAAGAGUUGGAGUCGCCACCAUAGUUUAUUCUGGAAAACUACAGAAAAACCAUAAAAUGAU